CCCACACCUUGCAGGCUCACCUGGGUGACAAAAAGGCUCCCAGACGUUGGCAAGCGACAGCCACAAGCUGCAGUACAACUGAACACCAAUAAAAACCGAGGAGCAAGACGGGAAAUCAUCUCGACAGAAAGUCAACUGCUUCGUUUUUAAGUGAACACAGCUCCAAGCAAUGGUAGAUAUCUAACAAUUAAGAGUGGGUGGGUAAAACGCCUGCCAGCUCUGCCCAAAUAUGACCUGGAUACUUACAAGCGGAGAUGGAAAUCAUCCGGGGGACUUAGAUGUUCUGGUCUUUGACCUACAGGAGAAUUAAGGAUUUCCCUGAGAGGAAGUUGAAGCAUGAUGGCACCUGAGCAAGAUAUCCCAAGUUACUUCCCCACAGACACCAAUUUGAGCAACAAAUCACACUA